ACGGGUGAGUAAUGCUUAGGAAUCUGCCUAUUAGUGGGGGACAACAUCUCGAAAGGGAUGCUAAUACCGCAUACGUCCUACGGGAGAAAGCAGGGGACCUUCGGGCCUUGCGCUAAUAGAUGAGCCUAAGUCGGAUUAGCUAGUUGGUGGGGUAAAGGCCUACCAAGGCGACGAUCUGUAGCGGGUCUGAGAGGAUGAUCCGCCACACUGGGACUGGGACACGGCCCAGACUCCUACGGGAGGCAGCAGUGGGGAAUAUUGGACAAUGGGGGGAACCCUGAUCCAGCCAUGCCGCGUGUGUGAAGAAGGCCUUUUGGUUGUAAAGCACUUUAAGCGAGGAGGAGGCUACCGAGAUUAAUACUCUUGGAUAGUGGACGUUACUCGCAGAAUAAGCACCGGCUAACUCUGUGCCAGCAGCCGCGGUAAUACAGAGGGUGCAAGCGUUAAUCGGAUUUACUGGGCGUAAAGCGCGCGUAGGUGGCCAAUUAAGUCAAAUGUGAAAUCCCCGAGCUUAACUUGGGAAUUGCAUUCGAUACUGGUUGGCUAGAGUAUGGGAGAGGAUGGUAGAAUUCCAGGUGUAGCGGUGAA
rnacentral:rRNA from 1 species